GACGAACGCUGGCGGCGUGCUUAACACAUGCAAGUCGAACGGAAAGGCCCUGCUUUUGUGGGGUGCUCGAGUGGCGAACGGGUGAGUAACACGUGAGUAACCUGCCCUUGACUUUGGGAUAACUUCAGGAAACUGGGGCUAAUACCGGAUAGGAGCUCCUGCUGCAUGGUGGGGGUUGGAAAGUUUCGGCGGUUGGGGAUGGACUCGCGGCUUAUCAGCUUGUUGGUGGGGUAGUGGCUUACCAAGGCUGUGACGGGUAGCCGGCCUGAGAGGGUGACCGGCCACAUUGGGACUGAGAUACGGCGCAGACUCCUACGGGAGGCAGCAGUGGGGAAUAUUGCACAAUGGGCGGAAGCCUGAUGCAGCAACGCCGCGUGCGGGAUGACGGCCUUCGGGUUGUAAACCGCUUUAGCCUGUGACGAAGCGUGAGUGACGGUAAUGGGUAAAGAAGCACCGGCUAACUACGUG
rnacentral:rRNA from 1 species